rnacentral:rRNA from 1 species
CUAUACAUGACUCUGCGCAUAUCAAUAAGCGGAGGAAAAGUCACUACCUACGCUUAGGAUGUUGACGAGACUGUCGAUCUCGUCUAUACAUGACUCUGCGCAUAUCAAUAAGCGGAGGAAAAGAAACUAACAAGGAUUCCCUCAGUAACGGCGAGUGAAGCGGGAAGAGCUCAAAUUUGAAAUCUUCAAGGUUCUACCUUGACGAAUUGUAGUUUAAAGAAGUGUUUUCUGUUAGAGAGGUGGUAAAAGUUCUUUGGAAUAGGACAUCAUAGAGGGUGAGAAUCCCGUAUUUGAUCACUUUCUACUAACGUUGUGAUACACUUUCAAAGAGUCGGAUUGUUCGGGAAUGCAGUCCAAAAUGGGUGGUAAAUUUCAUCUAAAGCUAAAUAUUGGCGAGAGACCGAUAGCGAACAAGUACCGUGAGGGAAAGAUGAAAAGAACUUUGAAAAGAGAGUUAAACAGUACGUGAAAUUGUCAAAAGGGAAGCGUUUGACACCAGUGUUGUUUUUCCGAAAAUCAAUUACGAAUGUUUUAUUUUUGAGGAGUUAUGACUUCAUCGGCUUGCUCCUUUCUUUAUGAAACUUUCUUAAUGCACUUUUCGGUUAACAAGUCAACAUCAAUUUCUUUUGUUGUAAGAGGGUAUGAGGAAGGUGGCUUUCAUUUCGGUAGAAAGUGUUUAUAGCCUUGUACCUCUGCAAUCGGAGAGAUUGAGGUCUGCAGCGUAGAUCCUUCGGGGUUAGAUACAUUUGUGCUAAGUUAUAGCUUUUUCAUAGACAACUUGUUGACUAUGAUUCAGUCAUGUAGCUUACUCGCUUAUGCUAUUUUACCUACGCUUAGGAUGUUGACGAGACUGUCGAUCUC